AGAGUUUGAUCCUGGCUCAGAAUGAACGCUGGCGGCGUGCUUAACACAUGCAAGUCGUACGAGAACGCUUCAGCUUGCUGAAGCUAGUAAAGUGGCGUACGGGUGAGUAACGCGUGGGUAAUCUACCUUCGAAUUGGGGAUAACGUUGCGAAAGUGACGCUAAUACCGGAUAAUAUCAUAGAGACCUUGGUUUUUAUGAUCAAAGAUGGCCUCUCCUUGGAAGCUAUUGUUUGGAGAUGAGCCCGCGUCCCAUUAGCUUGUUGGUGGGGUAAUGGCCUACCAAGGCAACGAUGGGUAGCUGGUCUGAGAGGAUGAUCAGCCACACUGGAACUGACACACGGUCCAGACUCCUACGGGAGGCAGCAGUGAGGAAUUUUGCGCAAUGGGGGAAACCCUGACGCAGCAACGCCGCGUGAGUGAUGAAGGCUUUCGGGUCGUAAAGCUCUGUCAAGUGGGAAGAACUCCCGUGAGGUUAAUACCCUCAUGGUUUGACGGUACCACUGAAGGAAGCACCGGCUAACUCCGUGCCAGCAGCCGCGGUAAUACGGGGGGUGCAAGCGUUAUUCGGAUUUACUGGGCGUAAAGCGCGCGUAGGCGGCCGUUUAAGUCAGAUGUGAAAGCCCGGGGCUCAACCCCGGAAGUGCAUUUGAUACUAUUCGGCUUGAGUAUGGGAGAGGGAAGUGGAAUUCCUGGUGUAGAGGUGAAAUUCGUAGAUAUCAGGAGGAACACCGGUGGCGAAGG
rnacentral:rRNA from 1 species